rnacentral:rRNA from 1 species
AUACCGGCGGCCCGAGUGGCGGCCACUAUUAUUGGGCCUAAAGCGUCCGUAGCCGGUCUGGCAAGUCCCCCGGGAAAUCUGGCGGCUUAACCGUCAGGCUGCCGGGGGAUACUGCCAGACUAGGGACCGGGAGAGGCCAGGGGUAUUCCCGGGGUAGGGGUGAAAUCCUGUAAUCCCGGGAGGACCACCUGUGGCGAAGGCGCCUGGCUGGAACGGGUCCGACGGUGAGGGACGAAGGCCUGGGGAGCGAACCGGAUUAGAAACCCCAGUAGUCC